rnacentral:rRNA from 1 species
AGCAGCCGCGGUAAUUCCAGCUCCAAUAGCGUAUAUUAAAGUUGCUGCAGUUAAAAAGCUCGUAGUUGAAUUUCGGGAUCAGCGCGUCGGUCGUGCCUCCGGUAUGCACUGGCGCCGCUGGUUUCUCCCUUCUGAGGAACCGUGAUGUCAUUAAUUUGGUGUCGCGGGAAAUCAGGACUGUUACUUUGAAAAAAUUAGAGUGUUUAAAGCGGGCACGCGCUUGAAUACAUUAGCAUGGAAUAAUAGAAUAGGACGUGUGGUUCUAUUUUGUUGGUUUCUAGGACCGCCGUAAUGAUUAAUAGGGACAGUCGGGGGCAUCAGUAUUCAAUUGUCAGAGGUGAAAUUCUUGGAUUUAU